rnacentral:rRNA from 1 species
GGGCCCGCACAAGCAGUGGAGCAUGUGGUUUAAUUCGAUGCAACGCGAAGAACCUUACCAGGCCUUGACAUCCUCGGAACUUUCUAGAGAUAGAUUGGUGCCUUCGGGAACCGAGUGACAGGUGCUGCAUGGCUGUCGUCAGCUCGUGUCGUGAGAUGUUGGGUUAAGUCCCGUAACGAGCGCAACCCACGUCUUUAGUUGCCAUCAUUUAGUUGGGCACUCUGAAAGAACUGCCAGUGAUAAGCUGGAGGAAGGUGGGGAUGACGUCAAGUCCUCAUGGCCCUUACGGCCUGGGCUACACACGUGCUACAAUGGCUAGGACAGACGGCCGCAAACCCGCGAGGGGAGCCAA